AAAGCUCAACAAGCUGAAAAUGAGAGUGUGAGUCACCCAAGGCCACGUACGCAAAAAUGACGAACACGCUAAUCACGUUUGCAAAACGUCUCAAAUCAAUUCAAAUCUCCCUCCCCUAAGUUCAAGCCUCCUCCUCCAUUUCAGAAUCCGUUGUCGGCGGCAGCGGAGCCUAAACUACUAAAUCCAGAUACCAAACUUCUCAUCUACAUGCCCUGAAUUCGAAUCCUUGCUCAGGUUCUCUAGACUCAUCAUCAAUUAAUCGAAUCGAAGUGACUUCUCCAUGAACCAUAGACAGUAAGACUUAAAUUGAACUCUCCUUAACUGGAACCGAAGCCCUGGGGGUUGGGGCUUUGAUUCCAAUCACCUCCAGCUACAUUACGGUAACCAGUUCAAUGUGAAACAAUGAAGAAAUCAACCUACCUGUCGGAGACGACAAAGAAAGAGACGAUCUCGGUUAAUGGUUUGUGGUAUGGAAUUCAUGGAAAUCCUUUGUUGAAAGUAGUUUUGGAUUGGCUGCUAUGAGUUUGUGUGGUAUGCUUGGCGUUAAUCCUGCUUGUGCAGAUGAAUGAACUUCUGUCAAUGAAUACUUGAAUGUUGUUCUGCACUGAACUGAAAGGCUGGAUCUUGGCUGCUAGCUCGGUUAGAUAGUGGUCAGGAUGCUUUGAUGAUAGCUAGUAACUCCUUGGUAUUUAUGUACGUAAUUUCUGAUGGCAUUGACCCUUGCUAGCCUUACUCUGGAAUUAUUUUUGUUAUACUGUCAUGCACUUAUUAUGGACUAAUGUUGGCAAACUGCUAUGGUGACUUGCUUGCAAACAAGAAGUUGUUACUAUGUCUUUUACAUGUCCCAUUUAAGGCAUUCACGUUCAAGCUGGAACGGUGUGCAGGUGUUGGAAGGUCUGGUGCAUACAGGUUUUGCAGGUUGAUGUCGUUGUUUGGUCUGCGGCAUAAUUCAUUGAAUGUAGGAUGAUGUAAUAUUUGUAGUCUUGGUACGAAAUGGUUGAACUUGAUUGUGUUUGGAAUUAUGGUUUUUCUGCUGAAAUGGAUAUUGCAGGGCCUUCCUACCUUAGGGUAACAUUUGCAUCAUGAACCUUGUGUUCACUACACUCGGCCUUCACAAUAUCGAGAUCUAGAUGGUUGUUUACAGAAGUUAAGGUGAAAUUGAUCCCGCCUUUAUUCAUCUUCUGGUAAGUCAUGCUUGAGAUCACAGUAGACGCUUGAUGAAUGGAAUUUCCAAUACUGGAAAUGGUUAAGGCAUGUCACACCCUAAUUUUGACCCUGAAUCGCCGAUUCAACACAUUCAUCAUAGCUAUUGCAUAUCUACAUAGCAUACCAUGCAUUCCAUACCGCAUAGUGCCUAAAAUAUCAGUCGAAACAAUUUUUUCAGAUUUACAUACAGACCGGUCGAACUAAUUCUUAAAUGUACGUAAAAUUAGUGGUCAAAAAUUUUCUAGAUCGAUCUUACAGAGGUCAAUUUUAUUAAUUUACGGUUCAUGUAGUUUAACCUGGCGUGUUUGUUUUAAUUUUUCGACUACUUUUUUCUGUUGCAUUUUGGUCAGUCUGAGCCUUUUAACCGGUCAAAUUUUAUUUCAAAAUUGGCUCAAACGCUAUAUAUUUCAGAGAGAUUUAUUUCACGUCGAUCAUUUUAGUGCAUUCCUCUUAAUUUUUGGAGUAUUUUUAUACUCAGUUUUUAUUUAUUUUGAGUCCUUUUAUUUUUUUUCUUUUAUCAAAAUAUUCAAAAAUAAAUAAGUAAAUCUAACUAUGUUUUCAUUUUUAUUUUAGGUUAUGUAUUCUAAAAUAUUUGAAUUUUAGUUAUUUUAGUUAUUUUAAUUUAUUUAAUUCUUUUUAAACUCUACAAGAUAUUUACAAGGGUGUUUUAGGGAAAGUUAAUUAUAU